ensembl:lncRNA
AAACAUAGCUUAUAUACAGACUUACCCCAAAGAACAUGAUACAUCAUGUCACAUAUAUAUGCAUAUAUAAAUUGCUCACUGAUACUGGCACAGACCAACAAGACCCAUCUUUCCAUUCUUUUCUUCAUAAAUUACUCUCGAGGACUUGUUUUUAAUUGGGGAUAUGGACUGAUCUAAGUUGUUUUUUGCAAUUGAUUGAAGAUGGUUUUUCAGUGUUUUCACUCACAGUCUCUCUCUCUCGCUCUUCCUUCUCCUGAUUAGUCAGGACUCUUAAUUUCUCUCACUCUAUACAAGUAGAGAGAGCUCACCUCUAAUAGAUUUAUGCCGCAGACAUUCAUUUUGACUGUUAAUUAGCUCCAAUCAGUGAUCUAGACGCAUUGACGUCAUCGCCUUUCGUAAUUAUGCCUCUGACAGUUAUGAAGAAGCCGUUGAGGAGGAGGGGCAGCAGGGGCUCACCUGUACAGACAGAACAAAACAGCUCCACAGCAUCCCUGUCUCUGUCAGACCGCCAGUGGUCAGAAUAAUCCUUUAACACAUACACACACACACACACACAACCUCACAUGUGACCAUUACACAAUCUGCUGCAGGCUUUAUAUAUCACCUGUGGGGUGGAGUGUUUGGAGAGGUUACCGGCAGAUCAGACAAAGGGGGCAGUGUGCGCUACCACAGGUGUGGUGAGGAUGCGUGUGCGUGUCUCUGUGUGUAGGUGCCCGUGUCUGUGCGUAUGACAGGAGGCAGGGAGAACACACAUACAACCGCAGAGGCCGCGCUUCAGCUCCCAGGUGGAAGAGGCAGCAGCAAAGGGCCUGUGUGAGGAGGUACAGGGAGAGAGAGGGGACAUACAGAGCCAGCAGGUCGGCUGAGGUCUUGUCAAGCUAGCCUGUGCAGAAAGUGCGAGAAAGAGUGAGACUGAGCUCUUCAAGAUGUUCUUCCGAAUCCCCCUACUGACUCCGGGAUACAUCAGAUACCUACAGACGCAGGCCACACAGGCAGUGCUGCACAGACGGGAGGGCCCGUACUCGCCGCGACUGGCCAUGUUCCUGGGGGUGAUGGGCAUCGGGGUGUCUGGCUACGCCUCGCGCCAGCUCACGCUUCACCACAAGCCCUGCUCCAGGCUGCUCCGCUGACGGCCCCGAGACUCCACCCGCCGCCCGCGUAGAUGGGCACGCCAGCACGCUAACUCUCUACAAGGAAGAACCCGACUCUUUCUCAAAGCCUCCUUCCCACCCAUCCUCUCCCUCUCCCUCCCUCUCUCUCUCUCAUAUUUUGACAAAGGGGGUUUUGACAGGUUCCAUUCUCAGUGGCUGUGUUUGCUUUCCUAACUGCUGAGGCUGGCUAGACAGGCAGGUUGGGCUUGACAAAAGUGACCUUAACGUCCCCUUAAGUGCCCCUCCCUUUCCCAAAAUGAUUGACAGCUCAGAGUAUGACUGUAAAGUUUUCUUUGACACUUCAUUUACUGCUUGGCACAGCAGGGAUGUAUCAAAACAAGGUGUUUAAGCUGAUGCUGUUUGCCUGGCUCCGAUGCUGGCCCAUCCUCCUUCAGCUCAAUCAGUCCCUGCCUGUCAUGUUCCCAUAACCUGUGCCUUAAGGAGCACCAGUAGCAGGGUGCAAUGCUAAUAAACUAGGGAUAUGCUAAUUGCUAAAUGCUAAC